rnacentral:tRNA from 1 species
AGCCCCGCGGUGUAUGCCACAUUAGAUUGCAAAUCUUAAGAAGCCGACUAAAGUCCGGCCGGGGCUU